rnacentral:rRNA from 1 species
UGAGNCACGAAAGCGUGGGGAUCAAACAGGAUUAGAUACCCUGGUAGUCCACGCCGUAAACGAUGAAUGCUAGCUGUUAGCGAUAUACUGUUAGCGGCACAGAGAAAUCGUUAAGCAUUCCACCUGGGGAGUACGCCGGCAACGGUGAAACUCAAAGGAAUUGACGGGGGCCCGCACAAGCGGAGGAACAUGUGGUUUAAUUCGAUGAUACGCGAGGAACCUUACCUGGGCUUAAAUUGCAGUGGAAUAACGUGGAAACAUGUUAGCCUUCGGGCCGCUGUGAAGGUGCUGCAUGGUUGUCGUCAGCUCGUGCCGUGAGGUGUCGGCUUAAGUGCCAUAACGAGCGCAACCCUCAUCGAUAGUUACUAACAGGUUAAGCUGAGGACUCUAUCGAGACUGCCGACGUAAGUCGUGAGGAAGGUGGGGAUGACGUCAAAUCAGCACGGCCCUUACGUCCAGGGCUACACACGUGUUACAAUGGGGGGUACAAAGGGCAGCUACCUGGCGACAGGAUGCUAAUCUCUAAAACCUCUCUCAGUUCGGAUUGGAGUCUGCAACCCGACUCCAUGAAGCUGGAUUCGCUAGUAAUCGCGCAUCAGCCACGGCGCGGUGAAUACGUUCCCGGGCCUUGUACACACCGCCCGUCAAGCCAUGGGAGCCGGGGGGACCUGAAGUAUGCAACCGUAAGGAGCGUCCUAGGGUAAAACUGGUGACUGGGGCU